rnacentral:rRNA from 1 species
AGUGAACGCUGGCGGUAGGCCUAACACAUGCAAGUCGAACGGCAGCACAGUAAGAGCUCGCUUUUACGGGUGGCGAGUGGCGGACGGGUGAGGAAUACAUCGGAAUCUACUUUUUCGUGGGGCAUAACGUAGGGAAACUUACGCUAAUACCGCAUACGACCUACGUGUGAAAACAGAGGAUCUUCGGACUUUGCGUGAUUGAAUGAGGCGAUGUCGGAUUAGCUAGUUUGGGGGGUAAAGGCCCACCAAGGCAACGAUCCGUAGCGGGCAUGAGAGGAUGGACGGGCAGACUGGAAGUGAGACACGGCCCAGACACCUGAGGGGAGACACAGUGCGGAAUAUUACGCAAUGGGGGAAAGCCUGAUCCAGCCAUACCGCGUGAGUGAAGAAGGCCUUCCGGUUGUAAAGCGCUUUUGUUGGGAAAGAAAAAAAGCAGUUUAAUAUCCCAAUGUUCUGACGGUACCCAAAAAAUAAGCACCGGCUAACUUCGUG